ensembl:lncRNA
AAAUGCUAUAAAGAAUGCACAGGAGGAGUAUGAGGAACUGAAGAAGCGGAGAGAGGAGGAAGAAAAGGUCCUGGAGCUACUGAUGGAGAGGACUGAGGAGGUUGAGGAGGAGUUUGAGGAAAUAACUUCCAGGAAAAAGGAGGAGGAGAGGUUGUGUAAGGACCUGAAGACUAAGAUGGAUGAGGAGAAGAAGGAUUAUGAAUUUAUGAAGAGAGUAAGAGAGGAGAUGGAGUUGAACCUGAAUGAACCUCUGGUUCAGAACGAGCAACAGCAAAGAAGGCCGGUGAAAGAAGUGCAGACUAAGAUCCCUGCUGAUUAUGUGAAUCUGAAGGAGCUUCUGGAAGCUAGUCAGGAGGAUUGUGAGGAACUGAAAGAAAGAUUCAUGGAAGUUCUCUCAAGCCUGGACUUAGAGAGAAGUGAAAAUGCCAAGAAGCGAUCACAGCAC